GAAUCCGGAGUGGGACCGGGAUCUACUGCGUGAGGUCGAAAGCUGAAGGUGUGGGGUGAGCAGAGUGCAGGGUGAGGAGAG